UCGAGGGGCAGCGGGAUUGAAGCUUGCUUCAAUUGCCGGCGACCGGCGCACGGGUGCGUAACGCGUAUGCAACCUACCCAAGACAGGGGGAUAACACUGAGAAAUUGGUACUAAUACCCCAUAAUAUAUUGGAAGGCAUCUUCCGAUGUUGAAAACUCCGGUGGUUUUGGAUGGGCAUGCGUUGUAUUAGCUAGUUGGUGAGGUAACGGCUCACCAAGGCGACGAUACAUAGGGGGACUGAGAGGUUAACCCCCACAUUGGUACUGAGACACGGACCAAACUCC
rnacentral:rRNA from 1 species